GGUUGCGUAGCAACAGGAGAUCUCCGACCCGGAAGUGCUGCCACUCUGAGCUGUCCCACCUGCGACUGAUUCCUCGCCAGCUGCUGCCAAUCUUCCACCAUCGUUGGCAGAGCUAUUUAAUGGUGUGGCUGAGUGACAGACAGCGCUGGAGUAUUCCACCAAGCCUGGAAACGAGCGAGACGGAGAGACGAGAGGAGAGACGUCACUAUUCACAAGAGUUGUGUGGACACACGAGGGGAGCACUGAAGGGACUUUGCACUGUGGAUAACUGUGGAUUGGCUUCACUGUAAAUAAAGACACUGUUCAACUUUAA